rnacentral:rRNA from 1 species
CGUAGGGUGCGAGCGUUGUCCGGAAUUACUGGGCGUAAAGAGCUCGUAGGUGGUUUGUCGCGUCGUCUGUGAAAUUCCGGGGCUUAACUUCGGGCGUGCAGGCGAUACGGGCAAUACUUGAGUGCUGUAGGGGAGACUGGAAUUCCUGGUGUAGCGGUGGAAUGCGCAGAUAUCAGGAGGAACACCGAUGGCGAAGGCAGGUCUCUGGGCAGUAACUGACGCUGAGGAGCGAAAGCAUGGGUAGCGAACAGGAUUAGA